GAGUUUGAUCCUGGCUCAGGAUGAACGCUGGCGGCGUGCUUAACACAUGCAAGUCGAACGGUCCGCAAGGACAGUGGCGCACGGGUGAGGAACACGUAGCUAACCUGCCUUCAGGUGUGGGAUAACGCUCCGAAAGGAGUGCUAAUACCGCAUAAGCUCACGGGAACGUAGAGGCCCGCGAGAAAGGGAGUAAUUCGCCUGAAGAGGGGGCUGCGGCCCAUCAGGUAGUUGGUGGGGUAAAGGCCUACCAAGCCAACGACGGGUCGGGGGUCUGAGAGGAUGACCCCCCACCACUGG
rnacentral:rRNA from 1 species